rnacentral:lncRNA from 1 species
UGUGUCGGGGAAGAGGAGUGGGGGCAGGGUGUAACCUGCCUACAGUUGAUUUUCAAAUUCGCAUGUGGGCCUGAUGGAAGAAGACACUUUUCGCCACGCCUUCCUUUAUUAACUCUCGUGUUUGUUUUGUAAUUGUGCAUUUUUCUGAUUAUUUAUUUAAAAGCUAAAGAGUAAUUUCGCGCUUUUUUCUGGGAGAAGAGAUCCACUAGUCUCUCAAGGCUUCCCCCAACUGAAUCAGGAAGGAAUCAGAUUUUAACUACGUGUUGGGAGUGGUGCAUGUGAGUGCAAGUGUCUGGAGUCCAACAGCAUCGGAUCCUCUAAAGCUGGAGUCUCAAGAGUGCAAGUUCUAGAAAACAAACUCAGGCCCUCUGGGCCAGCAGCAACUAUUCUCCCCGGCCCCGUUUUAGUCUUACCUUUAAAUGAUUAUUAAACAAUACCCCCAUUUUUCUGUAUUUU